AGGACGAACGCUGGCGGCGUGCUUAACACAUGCAAGUCGAGCGGAAAGGCCCUUCGGGGUACUCGAGCGGCGAACGGGUGAGUAACACGUGAGUAACCUGCCCCUAGCUCUGGGAUAGCUCCGGGAAACCGGGAUUAAUACCAGAUACGACCACUUUAGACAUCUGUCGUGGUGGAAAGGAUUCCGGCUAGGGAUGGGCUCGCGGCCUAUCAGCUUGUUGGUGGGGUAACGGCCUACCAAGGCGACGACGGGUAGCCGGCCUGAGAGGGCGACCGGCCACACUGGGACUGAGACACGGCCCAGACUCCUACGGGAGGCAGCAGUGGGGAAUAUUGCGCAAUGGGCGAAAGCCUGACGCAGCGACGCCGCGUGGGGAUGAAGGCCUUCGGGUUGUAAACCCCGUUUCAGCAGGGACGAAGCGAAAGUGACGGUACCUGCAGAAGAAGCGCCGGCUAACUACGCGCCAGCAGCCGC
rnacentral:rRNA from 1 species